rnacentral:lncRNA from 1 species
UCGCUGGCCCCGCCCCCUAGCGCCGCGGUCGGAGCCAUUUCGCCGAUUCCUCCAUGCGAGUUGCUGUGCGUUUCUCUGUUGUCUCGGUAGAAGGCCAGAGUCACACACGGUCCUAAGAGCUGGGCACCAGGAAGCGAAGGCUGAUCUGAAGAAGACACUUGAAUCAUGGGUGACGUUAAAAAUUUUCUGUAUGCCUGGUGUGGCAAAAGGAAGAUGACCCCAUCCUAUGAAAUUAGAGCGGUGGGGAACAAAAACAGGCAGAAAUUCAUGUGUGAGGUUCAGGUGGAAGGGUAUAAUUACACUGGCAUGGGAAAUUCCACCAAUAAAAAAGAUGCACAAAGCAAUGCUGCCAGAGACUUUGUUAACUAUUUGGUUCGAAUAAAUGAAAUAAAGAGUGAAGAAGUUCCAGCUUUUGGGGUAGCAUCUCCACCCCCACUUACUGAUACUCCUGACACUACAGCAAAUGCUGAAGGAGAUUUACCAACAACCAUGGGAGGACCUCUUCCUCCACAUCUGGCUCUCAAAGCAGGUAAGGGACUUGAAUCCAUGCACGUGGUGGAGAAUAAGAUAUACACAAUCUUGAUCACCAUCUCUCUUUCUCGUUUUGGGUAGAAAGAACUGCAGUAAACUCUUGAUGUUAAGAGACAACCCAAG